GGUGCACAGAAAUUAUUACCAUUUCGGUAAUUCAGGAAAGUUUUUCCUCAAACUCCUAAUUUGUUGUUUAUUGUUGGUAAGCAAGGUAGUUGUAGUAGCUAUGUUUAGGGAUCUAGACUAGAAUAUGGUCAUGCAGAAUAAUCUUACAAUUAUUAGUGUACAUUUUAGUGACAUUCUCAUUUUUACAGCUUUUAAAAUUGACCUUGUGUUGACUUUUUGUUGCUAUGAUUUUUAAGAAAAGUUUCCAUAACUUUUUAUGAGUAAAGUAUUUUUUGGGAGGCGACCCAGCACUUCUCACCUGAGGUGUGGGAAGGUUCAUGGGUAAAUAAGUGAUUUCAGGCAGGAAGGUGUCGCCAGGGGCUGAAUGGGCAGCUGCUUUCUGUGUAGUUAUUCACUCACAGCUGGCUCUGCAUCGUGGAAUAGUGGUGGACCAUGGAGCAGCAACAAGCCUGGUCUAUGGAGCACUGGACAACCUGGACCGUGGAGUAAUGGCAGGCCUGGAAGCCAGGCCAAAGCCAAAGAUCACCAGGGUGGAGCAGGCGGGACUGAGGAUCUCCAUGGUGGAGCUGGUGGAGCAGAUGACCACGGUGAAACCUGCGAAGGAGAAGGCCUCUUUGGCCGUUGCUGGACAGGCAGAGAGUUCAGGGCAGACUAUGAGUUUCACAGGUGUUUUUUCUUUAUUUACGCAUUGCAUUGUGUUAAAGGGUUAAAGGGAAUGUCCAUAAACUUACCGGAUAAUGUACUGGCAGAAAAUUACCAGUCCCCUUAAAAAAUGAAAUAAAAUCUUAUAGUGUAUAAAAAAUGGCAUUGACCUUGAAAGUGGACAUAUUGCAAAAUAUCUCAUUUCGUGUUUCUACAGAAAAAAAGACAGAAAAAAAUGGGGUUAACUGUUCCUUUAAGCAUAUCCAUGUCUUCCCUGUUGAUUCUUUACUUCAUUAACUCAUCCUGAAAAGGAAGAUCAGGUGACUGUAAUGCUUUGUGAUUCCUUACUGUUUUUUUUCCCCCUCAAUCUUUCCAUGAUGUACAGCAUGUCUCACAUUCCCCCCUCUGUUUCGCACCUGAUUCCGCCGUCAUUCUGCACAUCAGUUUAUCUCCUUA
ensembl:lncRNA